rnacentral:lncRNA from 1 species
CUUGUUAGGACGCAACCCAAUGAAUAAAUUUUCUUUUUUCUUUUUUCUGUUCUUGUGUGUUUACACAAUUAUGCUACUGGUAUGAUUGUGUUUUUUGUGUUUUAGUUAGUGUUUGUGCCAAGUAAAGCCUAUAGGAUCUUCUUGGAUGAUAGUUGUUUGAUCUUGCUGAAAAAGACAGAAACUUUGUGCUCACAAAAAUAAUUUUAAUAAAUCACAGAAAAGAGUUUUUGCCCUGAUUGUUUUUGCAGAAUAUUAAUAUACAAAUUACCCUGGUCGUACUAGUUUGGUAGAUAUUUUGGAGUUCCAGAAGUAUUAGCCAAAGUCAGAUUACUACAGACUGUUCUGUUUUGACAGAUUCUAUUUUCUUUGUGUUGUGUGCUUAUUUUGAUGGCUCUAUGGUUUUCUUUGAUGAGUUUUUGCCAUACAAAAGUUUGAAUACAGUAGAUAUAAUAAAAAACAAAAUAAGAAUUGGUUUGAUACUGCACUUAUAGUAGUUUUUUGCUUUCUUAUACUAACGGGUCUCACAAAGGUUCUGUUGAGUUUUGUGUGAUUGAAGUUUUCAAGUUUUGGGUUAUCUUACGAUGGAUGAAGGAAGGAUGUAAGAGCCUAAGCUUGGGGAUGCCCCGGCAUCCCAAGCUAUUAUCCAAGAUUGAGAAACCAACUAAGCUUGGGGAUGCCCCCGAGUGGCAUCCCCGCUUUCUUCCAACAACUAUCGGUAUUUUACUCGAGGCUAUAUUUUUGUUCGUCACAUGAUAUGUGUUUUCCUCGGAGCGUCUUGUACGAUAUGUUCUCUGCUUGUUUUAUUUUGUGUUUUAAUUCAUCAAUCCUUGCUGGGCACACUUAUUUGAGAGAGCCAAAAUUAUAUCAUGACUUGUUAAAAUUGCUCUCUAUGCUUCACUUAAAUCUUUUAUGAGCUUGGACUUGCUCUAGUGCUUCACUUAUAUCUUUUUGAGCAUGGUGUGCUUUGUUAUUUUUGAAGAAAUGCUCUCCUGCUUCCGUUAGAUUUAUUUGAGAGUUAGUAAAAUUUUGAAGAAAUUCUCUCUUGCUUCACUUAAAUUAUUUUGAGAGAAAGAAAAUUUGUCAUGCUCAUGAUCUUCACUUAUAUUUGUUUGUGCUUAUGAAAAGCAACACAUGAAAAUUAGUCCCAAAGUGAUAGAUAUCCAAGAAGGAUAAAGAAAAGAAAAUGUCAUGAAGAUCAUUGGACAAAAUAAACUUGAUUCUUAGUAAUAGUUUUGAGAUAUGAUGAUGUGAUAUGUGAGUUAUGUUGAUGAGUAAUUGUCCUCUAGAAAGAAUAUUGGUGUUAAGGUUUGUGAUUUCCUAUGCAUGCACGAAAGUCAAUAAUCAUGCAAUGAAAAUUAUAUCCUACUUGUGGUGAAUUAUUCGGUGUUUAUUAUCCUUAAUGCUUGCUUAUGAGAUUAUUCGUUUCUUGGUUGGUCGCUUCUCAAUCUUUUUGCAAGCCUUCAUUUUGCACCAAUUAUGACCUCUACUUGUGCAUCCAAAAUUCUUUUAACCAGUUUUGCCACAUGAGUCCACUAUAUCUACCUAUUUGUGGUAUUCUUUUGCCGUUCUAAGAAAAUUUUUAUGUGCCAUCUCUAACUUUCAAAAUAAACUUCUCUUUUGUGUAUUUGUUUCGCUCGCGGAACGGUAACUGGUGGCUAAUAUUUUCCAUGCUAGAUGUGUUACUCUCAAGACGAGUGUUUAUUCACUUGUCAUUGCACGAGCGUAACGCAAAGGUCUUAGGGAUGCCCAGUCCCGAAAUGCAAAAAAAUAUUUACUUUAUGUUGUCAAAUAAUAAAUUCCUUGGAAAGUGUUGGUAUGGAGGGCACCCGUGGAUAAGGCUAGCCAUGGAAAGUGAAAGAAUGGUGGAAAAAGGAAUAACCUUUAUUUUCUGUUUGGGAACCGCCUAUGGCAUAUCUAGCAUGGAAAGUAUUCGUAGCUCCGAGUCAUUUUCAUUGGUGGGAUGGAUACACCUCCCAAAAUGUUUUUAUAUCUAUUUUUUUCGCUUUGAGCUCUGGCACCUCUACAAAUCCCUACUUCCAUCUAUGAUGGGCAUUUCUUUUACUUUAUGCAAUUUUUAUUUUUCGAAUUUGAGUCUCCAUCUUCUCUUACAAAAGCACCAACUAGGAGGCAAUAUGAUCGUGCUCAAGUAUUGGGUGUUGUUAAUAUUCGAGUGUGUUUCAUGAAUGGAUCUAUGUUUGAGCAUGAUGGGCUAGGGAUAAGUUAUUUUAGCAUCGAUAUUUUGAAAGACAUGGUUGCUUGUUGAUAUGCUUGAGUAUCAAAAUUAUUAUGUCAAAACUAGACUAUUGCUUUGAAUCACAUAAAAGUCCGAAUGUCCAUCCUAUAAAGAAAAGAAUGUGAUAUGACUUGAUGAACAGCACUCGACAUCAAAAAUUCUGUUUUUAUCACUUGCCUACUCGAGGAUGAGUAGGAGUUAACCUUGGGGAUGCUGAUAUGUCCCCAACGUAUCUAUAAUUUUUGAUUGUUCCAUGCCGUUUUAUUAUCAAUCUUGGAUGUUUUAUAAUCAUUUUAUAGUCAUUUUAUAUCAUUUUUGGGACUAAGCUAUUGACAUAGUGCCAAGUGCCAGUAUUUUUUCCAUGUUUUUUACAUCGCAGGAAAUCAAUAUCAAACGGAGUCCAAAUGCCACGAAACUCCACGAUGAUUUUUAUGGGCUAGAAGGAAGGUAAUGGGCCCUGGUUGCACCUGGGGGUGCCCCGUCGGGGGCACAACCCACCAGGGCCUGCAAGUAGGCCCAGGCGAGCCCUGGUGGGUUGUGCCCACCUCGGGUGCCCCCCGGACCGCCUCUUAGCUCCAUAAAUACCCCCAAAAUCCACAAACCCUAGGGGAGUCGACGAAAUAUUCAUCCAGACGCUGCGGAUACAGAACCACCAGAUCCAAUCUAGACACCAGCACAGAGGGGUUCACCACUUCCAUUGGUGCCUCUCCGAUGAUGCGUGAGUAGUUAUUUGUAGACCAUCGGGUCUGUAGUUAGUAGGUAGAUGGCUUUCUAUCUCUCGCUGAAUUCUUAAUACAAUUGUCUCUUGGAGAUCCAUAUGAUGUAACUCUUUUUGCGUGUGUUUGUUGGAAUCUGAUGAACUUCGAGUUUAUGAUCAGUUAUAUCUUUUUAUAUCCAUGAAAGUUAUUUGACUUUCUUUGAUCUCUUAUAUGCAUGAUAUCUUAGAGCCUCGUAUUUCUUCUCCGAUAUUUGGGUUUUGUUUGGCCAACUUGAUCUAUUUAUCUUGCAAUGGGAAGAGGUGCCCGGUAGUGGGUUCGAUCUUAUGGUGCAUUAUCCCAGUGACAGAAAGGGAACCGACACGUAUGUAUCGCUGCUAGUAAGGAUAAAAAGACGAGAUCUAUGGCUACCGCCAUAUAGAUAAACGGAUCUUGUCUACAUCAUGUCAUCGUUCUUAUUGCAUUACUCCAUUUUUCCAUGAACUUAAUACACUAGAUGCAUGCUGGAUAGCGGUCGAUGUGUUUAGUAAUAGUAGUAGAUGCAGGCAGGAGUUGGUCUACUAAUCUUGGACGUGAUGCCUAUGUAAUGAUCAUUGCCUGGAUAUCGUUAUGAUUAUUUGAAGUUCUAUCAAUUGCCCAACAGUAAUUUGUUUACCCACCGUUUGCUAUUUUUCUCGAGAGAACCCACUAGUGAAACCUACAGCCCCCGGGACUUUUUUCUCAUAUAUUUGCCUUGCGAUCAACUUUUCCUUUGCGUUUUAUUCAGAUCUAUUAAACCAAAAAUACAAAAAUAGCUUGCUGCACUUUAUUUUAUUUGCGAUCUAUUAUUUCAAUCUAUUAUAAUUUUCUCCCAUUUUCGUGCCUUCUGGCGCUGUUAUCCGGAAGGGAUUGACAACCCCAUUAACACGUUGGGUUGCGAGUGGUUGUUAUUUGUGUGCAGGGGUUGUUUACAUUGUGUUGCUUGGUUCUCCUACUGGUUCGAUACCUUGGUUUCAUUACUAAGGGAAAUACCUACCGUUGAUGUGCUACAUCAUCCUCUCCUCUUGGGGAAACACCGACGUAGUCUUAGCAAACAUCAUCAAGGGAAUUUCUGGCGCCGUUCCCGGGAGGAUCUUCAACAUAACCAGGUUCCAAAUCACCAAUCUCAUCUCCUCGCAAUUUAAAUUAUUUUCCAUUUGCCUCUCGUUUUCUUCUCCCCCGCUUCACAAAAAUUUGCUGUUUUAUUCGUCUCUCUUUCUCCGUUCGCCGUUUUCUUGUCAGAUCUAUUCUCUACUUGCAAUCAUGAGUGAUUUCGGUAUGGCACCAACAGAUGAUGGCUUGACUCCUAAGAUUGGACGUACAGGCAAUCUGGAUGCUAAAACUUUUAUCCUGGGGCAAGGGAACGUUAUGGGAAAAGAAUGUAUCCAAGAAUUUUUCAAUUGUGUUGGAAAUCUGAGUCUUGAUGAUGACCCUAUACUUAAAACUACUAGAUCUUAUGCGGAUGCUAUUUCAGCACUAGUUCUGAAACUUGAAAGUAAAUUUGUCCGCACUCAUCCUACUUUGCAAAUAUUGUUUUUUGAGCUUCCCAAAAUAAAGAAUCCUAGAGCCAAAAAGUUGGCCACUCUCGUUCUUAUGAACGAGUUUGACUACAUAAUUCGGGAAGCUAGGGAAAUCUUUGAUUUUUAUGGUAUGAAUCGUGAAAAACCCAUCAUAGAUGAAAUUCUUUACAAUAGUGACUAUGCACUAAGGCAUUUGCUUGGGGAUAAUAAGAUCUUUGGUAAGAAUCUUAAAAAGGAGGUCAUCGUUCUAGAAAUAAUCCAACAAGUGUUUAAUAAUGUUAAUCAACACUAUUCUUGGAUUGUUGCGGGAAAUCAAAGGGGUUGUGAUGAAAACCAACUAAGGAAUGCUGAAGUUUCUAUGGAUAAGAUGUUUUAUGUUGUUUUUACAAAACCUCCUGAUAAAAAUACCCCCAAGGAAAACAAGAAGAACAAGGAUGACAAAACUUAGAUCCUUGCCUUACGCCUAGCUAAGGGCGUAAAACUAUAGCGCUUGUUGGGAGGAAACCCAAUGAAUAAAUUUUAUUUUUGCUUUUAGCUUUCUGUUCUUGUGUGUUUACACAAUUAUGCUACUGGUAUGAUUGUACUUUUUGUGUUUAGUUAGUCUUUGUGCCUAGUAAAGCCUAUAUGAUCUUCUUGGAUGGUAGUUGUUUGAUCUUGAUGAAAAAGACAGAAACUUUGUGCUCACGAAAAUAAUUUUAAUAAAUCACAGAAAAGAGUUUUUGCCCUGAUUGUUUUUGCAGAAUAUUAAUAUACAAAUUACCCUGGUCUUACUAGUUUGGUAGAUAUUUUGGAGUUCCAGACGUAUUCGCCAAAGUCAGAUUACUACAGACUGUUCUGUUUUGACAGAUUCUGUUUUCUUUGUGUCGUGUGCUUAUUUUGAUGGCUCUAUGGUUUUCUUUGAUGAGUUUUUGCCAUACAAAAGUUGGAAUACAGUAGAUAUAAUAAAAAACAAAAUAAGAAUUGGUUUGAUACUGCACUUAUAGUAGUUGUUUGCUUUCUUAUACUAACGGGUCUCACAAAGGUUCUGUUGAGUUUUGUGUGAUUGAAGUUUUCAAGUUUUGGGUUAUCUUACGAUGGAUGAAGGAAGGAUGUAAGAGCCUAAGCUUGGGGAUGCCCCGG